GUUAAACUAGAUUUAUGAAGGAUUUCUCCUGUUCAUCUUCUCAGACAUCCUUAUUUGUCAUUGACCAGCUACACCCAAUUUUCACAUACCUCUUUUUCCAGCCACAUUUCUAACUUGUGCCACUAUCUGAGACAUUACUGUGACCUGAGAGAGAGAGAGAGAGGCAGGGACAGAGAGAGAGUUGGAGAAAAAUGUCAGAGAACAGUGAUGGAGUUUUCCUCUCCACUGUGAACUCAUUCUCACUUAUUCUCGUUCCCUCUUUUUCACUCCCUUGAUCUUCAUCUCUGUCUUUCAUCAUGAGCUCCUCCAGCAUGUCUUAACUCACUCUCGGUUGUACGUGUGAGUCGGUCCACCUGUGACCUGCUCCUCUUUCACAAUCCUUUCUUUUUUUAUCUCACUGUGUUCUGUUCUCCUGCUGGUUCUCACUUUUUGUGUAUCUGUUCAAGGUCCUUUCCCCCGUCACUAUUUUCUCUUCUCUUUCACUCGCUUCACUUUCCUUUUCAACCAUUCUUUCAUUCUUCUCGCUGUUUAGUAUCAUCCUCAUUUAUAUUCCAUCCCAUGCUUCUUUAAACCUUCUCUACCAUUGCUUCUCCUAUAUGAGCAGAAGAGUACAUCACAAGAAAUGUCCAUUGCGUCAUGAAAAGGCUUUUGCUUUGGCAUCAGCAGGAGUCCUUAUGGAGAUAACAGCAGUGAAUGCACUAUUUACCGGAUCUUAAUGACACCUGGAACAAAGGAAUACCAGUAAAACAAACAAACUAAAUAUAUUACACCUAAACUCCUCUAGACAAUUUUUCUUUUUGAUGGUACGAUGGAACGGCUUCAACUCCAGGUGAACUAAUCUUGAUUUAACAAUAUACUGUGGAUCACGUUCUCCACUGGGAGGCUGUUCUUGUGGCAAGAGCACAUGGAGAGUAACGUAGUAAUUCUUUGAUUCACAGACUCAGUUUCUUUUUAACGAGCUGGAAUGCCUUUCUUUUGCCAAGAAUGAGAAGUUGAAUGAUGCUCAGUGAGCCAUGCCCUUCAAUACCUGCACACUCUCAUAGAUGAGCACAGGUUUGCUUAGGAAUCGAAGAGGAAUGCUCAUACUUAGAAUUCUGCAGAUGCAACAAUUUCGCCUUUGGAUUCCAAUUUUUCUGCUUAUUAUCUUCAAGUUCUAAAGGAAAUGGAGUCCCUUAGGAGAUGGAGAUGAGACCCAUGUGAGGCUGUUGGGUUGGUCACAAGGACCUGUCAAUUGGUUUGGUGUAAAAAUUUCAAGGGCACUUGGAAGUUGAAGAAAAACAAGACUUGUGACUGUUUGAGAAUGUCUAACUUUAGAGCAACAUUAAGACAUUGAGUGACUUUUGGAAAUCACAAACAGAACAACCCAAUUUGGGUACAAAGCAUCAAAAAAUA
ensembl:lncRNA